GAUGAACGCUAGCUACAGGCUUAACACAUGCAAGUCGAGGGACCGGCGCACGGGUGAGUGACACGUAUCCCACCUUCCCUUUACUCGGGGAUAGCCUUUCGACAGAAAGAUUACUACCUGAUAUAAUGGAUGGGGAUGCGUUCCAUUAGGGUGUUGGUGAGGUAACGGCUAACCAAGCCUUCGAUGGAUAGGUGUUCUGAGAGGAAGGUCCCCCACAGCGGAACUGAGACCCAGACUACACUCCUACGGUAGGCAGCAGAGAGGAAUAUUGGUCAAUGGGCCCUAGCCUGAACCAGCCAAGUAGCUGAAAGGAUUAAGCCUUAUGGGUCGUCAACUUCUUUUAAAGAAGAAUAUGUAUUCUAUGAAUAAGGAUCGGCUAACUCCGUGCCAGCCGCCGCGGUAAUUC
rnacentral:rRNA from 1 species